rnacentral:piRNA from 1 species
UCUGGUGCUGGAGAGGUGGCUUG